UACGUAGGGGGCUAGCGUUGUCCGGAUUUACUGGGCGUAAAGGGCGCGUAGGCGGCGCAACAAGUCACUUGUGAAAUCUCCGAGCUUAACUCGGAAACUGCCAUUGAUACUAUCAAUCUUGAAUCAUCUGGAGGUAAGCGGAAUAUGUCAUGUAGCGGUGAAAUGCUUAGAUAUGACAUAGAACACCAAUUGCGAAGGCAGCUUACUACGGGUGUAUUGACACUGAGGCACGAAAGCGUGGGGAUCAAACAGG
rnacentral:rRNA from 1 species